rnacentral:rRNA from 1 species
CAUCCAAGGAAGGCAGCAGGCGCGCAAAUUACCCAAUCCCGAUACGGGGAGGUAGUGACAAUAAAUAACAAUACAGGGCUUUUCAGUCUUGUAAUUGGAAUGAGUACAAUUUAAAUCUCUUAACGAGGAACAAUUGGAGGGCAAGUCUGGUGCCAGCAGCCGCGGUAAUUCCAGCUCCAAUAGCGUAUAUUAAAGUUGUUGCAGUUAAAAAGCUCGUAGUUGAAUUUUAGGCCCGGUUGGACGGUCUGCCUUUGGGUUUGUACUGUCCUGACUGGGCCUUACCUUCUGGUGAGCUGUCGUGUUGUUUACUCAGCGCGGCAGGGAACCAGGACUUUUACUUUGAAAAAAUUAGAGUGUUUAAAGCAGGCAUUCGCUUGAAUACAUUAGCAUGGAAUAAUAGAAUAGGACUUUGGUUCUAUUUUGUUGGUUUCUAGGACCGAAGUAAUGAUUAAUAGGGAUAGUUGGGGGCAUUAGUAUUUAAUUGUCAGGGGUGAAAUUCUUGGAUUUAUGAAAGACUAACUUCUGCGAAAGCAUUUGCCAAGGAUGUUUUCAUUAAUCAAGAACGAAAGUUAGGGGAUCGAAGACGAUCAGAUACCGUCGUAGUCUUAACCAUAAACUAUGCCGACUAGGGAUCAGACAAGGAUAUUUUGACUUGUUUGGCACCUUAUGAGAAAUCAAAGUUUUUGGGUUCCGGGGGGAGUAUGGUCGCAA